CAAUUUUCGCUGCAUUCUCUAUUCGGCUCUUAUACUUUUAUGACCGCCUGGCCAUUUCCGCUGACAAAUUUCUACAUAGGGGCGGCAAAGGUACAGCAAUUCGAGUAUCGUAGCGCGUGGCAUGGAGGAUCUCUUUCUGUUUGUUGGUGACCCAGUUCCGUCAGAACGGUAACGGCAAACUGUUACUGUCCGCCAACUGCUUGUGGAAUUGCUUCAAAGAAAAAUGGAAUUGGAAAACCAUGAGAGAAAGGAGAUCCCUUUUCAUUCGUAGUAAAGCAAUAUCAUGGCGCUUUAUCACGGAUCAUUGUCGGCCCAUGGACAUAAAACUUGUUUUCUGAGGCCUGCAAGAUUACUCCCGAGAUUUCGUUCCUUAUCGGCAACUUUGUCUAGUGCUAAUACGGCAUCGCACGUCUCCUUAGAAAAGUGGGGGCACAAGUGGAAGAGACAGUUUGUUAGGACCUGCUCGACCAGUGACUUCGUUAUUGCUCAUGAUGAAAAAUACGGCAAUAAGCAGGUCGUCAGUCUCAGUCCCCGCCUUUAUGACUAUGUCCUGAAGAGCGUUCGAGAACCAGAGAUUUUGAGACAACUGCGUGAGGAGACAGCCUCUAUGCGUGGGAGCCAGAUGCAGGUGUCUCCAGAUCAGGCACAACUGCUUGCAAUGCUUGUGCAAAUUCUUGGAGCAGAACGUUGCAUUGAAGUCGGCGUUUAUACUGGAUAUUCAUCUUUGGCCAUAGCCUUAGUCCUACCAGAAUCUGGUUGUUUAGUUGCUUGUGAAAGAGAUGCCAAAUCUCUUGAGGUUGCCAAGAAAUAUUACCAGCUAGCUGGUGUUUCGCAUAAGAUGGAUGUAAAAUUUGGACUUGCUGCAGAUACCCUACAGUCUUUAAUUUUAGAUGGUGAAGCUGGCAGCUAUGAUUUUGCAUUUAUUGAUGCUGAUAAAAGGAUGACUCAGAAAUACUUUGAACUACUGCUGCAGCUGGUGAGAGUCGGAGGCCUUGUUGUAAUUGACAAUGUUCUUUGGCACGGCAAGGUUGCUGACCCACUGGUAAAUGACCCUAAAACCAUCAGCAUUAGAAACUUUAAUCAAAAGUUAGUCGAAGACAAGCGCGUAAGCAUCAGUAUGGUGCCAAUUGGAGAUGGAAUGACAAUCUGCCGAAAAAGAUGACCUGAAACCAUGCAUGAGAUGAUUUAGUGACAAAUUUAUAUCGAGCUUCUCGCAUGCGUUGCACAAUUCAGAACAGGCAGCUUGAAAUUUACGCGGUUCCUGCCGACAAGGUAGGGUGUUAUUCUUUUCAUUCUUCACCAUGUUGUCUGCAAUACCGUUUAAUGAGUCUUUGCACAUCUGGGUUGGUUUGAAGCAUUUUGGAAAAGCCAUGAUCUUGCACAUGAGCUAUGAGCAUAGUGACUAUACACGAUAUUUCCACCCCAAAUGGUGUAGUGUGGUGACAUUUCCUGCUCUGGCAUGCCUUGUUCAUCCAGCUUUAUCAUCUCUUAAUGAUAGGUUGGAUAUAUAUUAUACAUAAAAAUCAAGAAUGGAUGUUCUGAAUGGCUUGUAUGUAUGAGUUAUGACUAGCUUGAGAAGAUAUCAGAUGACCUAUUGGACAUUUUCCAAGCGACUUCUCAUUGAUUCAAAAUCGGAGGAGUUAUUUAACGCAUGCUUUCGGCUAAAGGUUAACAAGGGAUCAAUAAAGACGUGAAGAGCCAACAGAAAGAAAAAGGAAAACUGUGUACUCCCCUUCGGAUCAAUAAAUCGGAGGAGUUAUUUUUUAAAAGCUUUAUUUGGUCUAAUAUGAAUAACUUUCUUUUAUGCGCGUCACCAAAAAGCGCAACAUAUUAACGAAGUACGAACAUUUUUUGUGUGGAAGAUAUGCUUUAAUAAAAAUAAAGAAAAAUAUAGUCA